rnacentral:rRNA from 1 species
AGUGAACGCUGGCGGUAGGCCUAACACAUGCAAGUCGAACGGCAGCACAGUAAGAGCUUGCUCUUACGGGUGGCGAGUGGCGGACGGGUGAGGAAUACAUCGGAAUCUACUUUUUCGUGGGGGAUAACGUAGGGAAACUUACGCUAAUACCGCAUACGACCUACGGGUGAAAGCAGGGGAUCUUCGGACCUUGCGCGAUUGAAUGAGCCGAUGUCGGAUUAGUUAGUUGGCGGGGUAAAGGCCCACCAAGGCGACGAUCCGUAGCUGGUCUGAGAGGAUGAUCAGCCACACUGGAACUGAGACACGGCCCAGACGCCUACGGGAGGCAGCAGUGGGGAAUAUUGGACAAUGGGCGCAAGCCUGAUCCAGCCAUACCGCGUGGGUGAAGAAGGCCUUCGGGUUGUAAAGCCCUUUUGUUGGGAAAGAAAAGCAGCAGGUUAAUACCCCGCUGUUCUGACGGUACCCAAAGAAUAAGCACCGGCUAACUUCGUG